rnacentral:snRNA from 1 species
UGCGACCUUUAAACAUACUUACCUGGACGGGGUCGAUGGCCGAUCAAGAAGAGUCAUGGUCUAGGCUAGUGGUCCGCAUUGCACUUGGUGGAUGCGCUGGCUUACCAUCUCCCCAAGUGGGAGAAUGGACGUCAUAAUUUGUGGUAG